GAACACCUGCCGCGCGCGCCGUCCGCCCAAAUCCCCUCGCCGUCGCCGCCUCGCCCCCAAACCCCGCGCCGGCCGAAGCGGCUCCCCGCGGAUGCCCUCCCGUCCCGGCGCGGCCCGGACGGCGGUAGUAGGGAGCGGGGGCCGGGCGUAAGAUGCGUCGCUUCCCCCCUGCGGCGGCGCUCCUCCUCCUCCGACGCUCGCUCGCCGCCGCCGCCUCCGCCGAGCUGCGCUCGGGUCCGAGACGGUUGGUGCGUGCCUCUUUUCUUGACGAAAGCCCCUCCAUAUACACGAGUCCGGCCAUGGCUGUGCAAUACCACCAAUGCUCUAGUUCAGAAGACAGGGAUGACGAUGAGGUUCUUGCGGCUUUCAAUCGGGACUGUUGUACUGACUCAGAUGGCGGUGUUAUGGAUGGUUCAGCAUGUACUGCCUACGUUGAGAAGCUCUGCAGAUCAGGCAACUUCUCUGUCGCUGUUCGGAUUCUCCGACAUUUACAUGAUAAGAAUAUCCAUGUAGGGCUGAACACUUUUAAUAUGUUGCUGGAGCAAACAGGUGAAGUGAACUUCAUUCUUUUUGCCAAGGUAUUCAGGUACCUGCUGCUUUCCAAAAUUGCUCCUGAUUUGACUUCUUAUAAAAAUGUUGCAAAGGCCCUUCAGACGUUGGACGAGUAUGAACUAAUACUUAAGUUUGUAAGACAAACUUUGGAAAUUACACAUGAUAGAGAUCCUACAGUGAUGAAUUGCAUUAUUUUUGCCAUGGCUAAAUAUGGACACAUUGAUAAAAGUUUGAUCAUAUUUAAAGAAUUGAAGAAAGAUCAAAGAGGGUUGGAUGUUGUCACGUUCAAUACUAUUUUGGACAUGCUAGGAAAAGCUGGUCGGGUGGAUCAAAUGCUUCAUGAGAUGACACUAAUGGAUGAACUUGGCCAUUCUCCUGACAUUAUUACAUAUAAUACAGUGAUAAACUGCCUGCGGAGGCUUGGAAGGUUAGAUCAGUGCAAAAUCUUUGCAAGAGAAAUGAUUGAGAGAGGUAUCAAUCCAGAUUUAAGAACAUAUACUGCACUAAUUGAUAUUUUUGGGCGGACUGGCGAUAUUACUGAAGCCCUUGAAAUGUUUGACCAGAUGAAAAGGUCAUAUCAACCUUCAAUUUAUGUCUACCGAGCCCUUAUUAGUAACUUAAGAAAGGCUGGACAGUUUGAGCUAGCAGAAAAGCUCUCUGAAGAGAUGAAAUCAAGUGCUUCAGAAUUACUAGGCCCUGAAGAUUUUAAGCGGAAGUUUAAGGGUAGAAAGAUCAACAAAAACAAGCGAGAUAAUCGCAAAUGAUCUUCCAGGCCUGAAUAUUUUGUUUGCAUGCAACAUGUGCUCAUCCACUGUUCCAGCCAAAGAUUCUGGGAUAAAUUGAAAUCUUUCAAAGAAUGUAUCUCAUUAAGAAUGAGAUAACCACAAAGCUUGAUUACAAAAGCAUGAUGAUUGCUAACAUAUGCAAUGAUCUCAGGCAGAGAGAACCAGAUUAGAAACCUCUAUGAACUAUUAUGGCUGCAGGCUUUUUUCUGAUGUGCAUUUGAAGAAACAAUAACAUGCUUCUCUGAUCUAUAUCUUCGCAUAUGCAAGAGAAGUUAUCUGGAGACAAGUCCUGUACUGAUGAGACAUGAAUCUUUAUUUGAGAUUGUUCUACCAUAGUGCAAACUCAAGCCAACAAAGAGUAGACUGGCCACAAGACUUCUUGGUCGAGGUAUAUAUGAUGUGCUUCUACUGGAUUAUCAUGUGAAUAACAUGCUCUUUGUGCAUUGUUCAGUACUAAUCAGGUUGUGUGGCUCUUCACUUCAACAAGUUCAAUUUCAGCAUUGCUGUUCCUGUCCAGUGCCAUGAAAAAGAGUUGAACCUUUAGAGCUCAUCAACAGAUUGGCUAGAUUCCAUCCCUGAAAUUUUGUUUUGGGGAAUCCUAAACAGAAUUUAACGUGUGAAAAUAUUUAUUCCUCCAAGAGGUUGGCUAAAUUGACUCCCUAAACAUAAAAAGUGGGCCCAUACGAAUCUACCAUCAGAAAUCAGUUUAUUUGUCGAGGCGGGAACAUUUUAUGCACUUGCGGGAAGGAGCAGCGAUCUGGAAUAGGGAGUGAGGGUCGCUCCGAACUUGUGGAGACUGACUUUACAAGGGAAGGGACCUCCAAUUCUUGGGGGGUUGCUAGGAGAUCUGUUGAGAUAUUUUUACCUAAAAUCCCCUAAUUUGGGGAUUUAUAGGAGUUUAGGGGGACUGUUGGGCAUGCUUCAGUUAUUUAGGCCAUUUUUGUGGAUCACUAGAUGGUUAUUCAUGGAACUAUGAUUUGCUUCAUGCUAACCUGCUUGCUGUUGAUGUGGCAAUGGGUAUUCCUUUGGGGAAACUGGAGGAAGAUACCUGGGCCUGGCACCAGAGAAGCAUGGAAACUAUACGGAUCGUUCCACAUACCGGUUGCUGCUUGGAAGCAAUCCCAUGGAUAAAUCUGUUGAUGCUUUGACAACAUUUGGCUCAGAAAACCCAUACUGGAAAACCGAUCAUUGGGUUCUGAAAAGCCAUACUGGAAAAAGCUUUGAAAAUGCCUACCCCGUCCAAAGUUCGUGUCUUCUGGUGGCGGGUUCUACAUGACAAACUCUAUAUUCGACAUAUUGAAAGGAUCAGCUUUUUACUGAAACCUGUGGCAACAGCAAGGAUACUGAUGUGCAUGUUUUGUUGGUAUGUAUAUCAGUAUAUGACUUGAUUCAUGCCUAGCAAGAGAAUAACUCAAAUCUAGCAAUCAUCUUGAGCAAUUGUAUUGCUCGUGAUUGUAAUCCUGCUUCAGAUAUAAUAUAAGCUUUUGUUUCCAUCGGGAAAAAAGUAUGGCAUGGAAUGAAGCAUCUCAAAUUCAUAAUAUGCCUCUGUAAACAAGAUUUUCGCUAUUUACAUAUUUGCACUUCUAUCUAGUAGUCCUAACCAACCAAAAGCAACAGUUUUAAGACAACGUUGUACUAGAUGGACAUAUUUUACAAAUACACAGAUGGUCCAGUAAACGAAUGAUC